UACAGAGGGUGCAAGCGUUAAUCGGAUUUACUGGGCGUAAAGCGUGUGUAGGUGGUUGUUCAAGUCGGUUGUGAAAUCCCUGGGCUCAACCUGGGAAUUGCUUCCGAGACUGAGCGACUAGAGUACGGUAGAGGGCGGUGGAAUUUCCGGUGUAGCGGUGAAAUGCGUAGAUAUCGGAAGGAACACCAAUGGCGAAGGCAGCCGCCUGGGCCUGUACUGACACUGAGACACGAAAGCGUGGGGAUCAAACAGGAUUAGAUACCCUGGUAGUCCACGCCGUAAACGAUGGGUACUUGACGUCGGCAUGCUCUGCGUGUCGGUGUCGCAGCUAACGCGAUAAGUACCCCGCCUGGGGAGUACGGCCGCAAGGUUGAA
rnacentral:rRNA from 1 species